GGGGCAGUGGCUGGUAGAGCCGCUGGCUUUCAGCUUGCGGCUGUGAACCGGGGCGUUGCCCCCGGCUGCCCCGCCA
rnacentral:tRNA from 1 species